rnacentral:rRNA from 1 species
UACGGAGGGUGCGAGCGUUGUCCGGAAUCACUGGGCGUAAAGGGCGCGUAGGCGGCCUGCUAAGUCGAACGUGAAAUCCCUGGGCUCAACCCAGGAACUGCGUCCGAUACUGGUUGGCUUGAAUCCGGGAGAGGGAUGUGGAAUUCCAGGUGUAGCGGUGAAAUGCGUAGAUAUCUGGAGGAACACCGGUGGCGAAGGCGACAUCCUGGACCGGUAUUGACGCUGAGGCGCGAAGGCCAGGGGAGCAAACGGG